rnacentral:tRNA from 1 species
UCCCUGAUAGCUCAGUUGGUAAAGAAUCUGCCUGCAAUGCAGGAGACCCUGGUUUGACUCCUGGGUCGGGAA